UCAUUUCCUCUAUGAAUUUGGGGUGAAGCGUUCUCUUAGACCUGAAUUCACAGAAGGGAUCCAUGAACGGAAACAAUGCAUCCGCUUCCUCAUUUUCACUCUGAACGACGGUAACCCGAGAUAGACCUUCAGCCGUGGAUUUAUCUGAUCUCUGGUAUAAAACGCCACGUGUCUCGUUUCCUCUCCGUUUGUGAGAAACAACACUGGCUGCAUCAAUAUAUAUUACAUUAUAUAUAUACACACACAUACAUUUGAAAAAAGAACAGGCAUGCAUGCAUGACACCGGUGCAGACCAGAAGGAUGAGAGGAAGAGGAAGAGGGGGAGGAGGAGGAUGGGAGGUUUGUCCGAUAGUAACCUCAGCAGGGAGAAUGAAGGAGCGGGGAAGGUUUGACCGAUAGUAACCCGAGCACGAGGAUGCGAAGCAGUGAAGGAGGGGGAUGGUGCACGCACGGCCUAUAUUUGUCUCUGCAGUGCUGAAAUGUGUCACAUACAUAUUUUGAUUGUGGGGAACUGUCAAACAUGCUGCGAUGCAAGAAAGAACCCCGCGCGACAGACGAGUUUUCUUUAUUUGUUAUUAAUGUCGCGGCAAAAUCCUCCAGUUAAGUAAAGAGUACGCGGUGGGAAACCCUUCCAGAAAACGCCGCACACGGGUACAACAUGCGCGCAGAAAGAGACCUGCACUGCGGGAAUACUGUGUUGGAUAAACAUAUGUUUUGGCUUUCUCCUGUUUGCAACGUCAGCACUUGGGUUGCCUUCAAGCUCUGUGGGAAAUAUGGCAAUUACAAGUGAGCGACUUUUGGUCCACAGCACUGUACACGAAUGGGCCCUGUAUUGACCGGGGUUCAUAUGUAUUCAGUCCCUUGUUGUCACAACAAACAAGUCUUCAUCACGAUAGCAUUAUGUUAUGAUCAAGUUGAGCUUACCGGCUCAUAUGAUAGUAUUGUGUGUUUAGCGUGUUGUAUUACAUGUUCAUCAUUGAUGAUUUUGACUGUUCUCAAGCAGUUUUACUCUUAUAAUGAAUUACAAUCAGAUGAAAUGAUAUCACUUGCUGGCUGCUUGUUGUCAUUACAUAGUUGAAACCAGGCAAAGGCACAAGCAGGCGUAUUUUCUAUUUAUGCCGUUUUCCAUUUUUCCUUUUUGUAGAAUUGUCACAACAUGCUAAUUUUCUGCUCAUUGGUAUGCACAAAGUAACAGAAAACAAAGGCUUAUAGCUUUUGUAGUUGCCCAGGUGCGUCAGGGUAUUCAUCACAGCCCAGUUCUCCUAAGACCUCCCACUGUGGGCCUUUAUUGUGUAGUAAAACCACCAUCGAUCAAAAAGUUGUCAUGCAACAUCUCAUCUGUUCUCAUGAAUAUUCUGUCCGCAAGCAAUCAAAUUCCCUUUGACAGAAUCCCCACUGGCCUCUUGAAAAUACGAGCUUUGGAAGGGACCCUGAACGCAUCUCGGUCUGACCGCAGGUUACCUCGCGCUGCAGCCGGCAGAGAACUGGGUGAAAGGGGAAUGAUGUCACUAGCCUGGCUGAGACGGAGGGGAACAAUCAAGUCUCGGUGGUCACCGGGCAAAAGUACAGCAGCAAAGAAGCCGCUUGUGAUCCAUUUAUUUUCGAGGGGAAUGUUUUAUUAAUCUGUCUUUAUUAAACAGUAUGUCAAUGGGAAUUCAGCGAAAAUCAAGAGUCUUCAUUUCAAAGGUGACUCUGAAGAUAACAUCUAUUUCAGAUCCCGCUUCACAGGCCUCCAUAUCAUAUGAGCUGGUUUAGCGUGUCUUCAGUGGAAAAGGCUUCAUUUCGGUACAGUUACCCCGAACCUGACAUUGGAUUUGAUUCAAUAAAUGCAGUUCUGGUCCUUAA